AUUGAACGCUGGCGGCAGGCCUAACACAUGCAAGUCGAGCGGAUGAAGGGAGCUUGCUCCUGGAUUCAGCGGCGGACGGGUGAGUAAUGCCUAGGAAUCUGCCUGGUAGUGGGGGAUAACGUCCGGAAACGGGCGCUAAUACCGCAUACGUCCUGAGGGAGAAAGUGGGGGAUCUUCGGACCUCACGCUAUCAGAUGAGCCUAGGUCGGAUUAGCUAGUUGGUGGGGUAAAGGCCUACCAAGGCGACGAUCCGUAACUGGUCUGAGAGGAUGAUCAGUCACACUGGAACGGAGACACGGUCCAGACGCCUACGGGAGGCAGCAGUGGGGAAUAUUGGACAAUGGGCGAAAGCCUGAUCCAGCCAUGCCGCGUGUGUGAAGAAGGUCUUCGGAUUGUAAAGCACUUUUAGUUGGGAGGAAGGGCAGUAAGUUAAUACCUUGCUGUUUUGACGUUACCAACAGAAUAAGCACCGGCUAACUUCGUG
rnacentral:rRNA from 1 species